rnacentral:rRNA from 1 species
GAUGAACGCUAGCGGCAGGCCUAACACAUGCAAGUCGAGGGGCAGCACAGAAACAGCAAUGUUUUGGUGGCGACCGGCGGACGGGUGCGUAACGCGUAUGCAACCUACCUUUAACAGGGGGAUAACGGAGAGAAAUUUCCACUAAUACCCCAUAACAUCGAUCAAGGCAUCUUGAUUGGUUGAAAACUCCGGUGGUUAAAGAUGGGCAUGCGUUGUAUUAGGUAGUUGGUGAGGUAAUGGCUCAAAAAGCCUACGAGAAAUAGGGGGACUGAGACGUUAGCCCACCAAACGGCUACUGAGACACGCACCAGACUCCUACUGGAGGCAGCAGUGAGGAAUAUUGGUCAAUGGGGGCAACCCUGAACCAGCCAUGCCGCGUGCAGGAAGACGGCUCUAUGAGUUGUAAACUGCUUUUAAACAGGGAUAAAGCACAGUAUGUAUACUGUGUUGGAGGUACUGUAAGAAUAAGGAUCGGCUAACUCCGUGCCAGCCGCCGCGGUAA